rnacentral:lncRNA from 1 species
AGCCUUGGAUGCUGGGGAUCACUUUUGGAGCUCUGAUUCACCCUCUCUUCGCUGAUGUCUCUCCUUCAGCUAUACUUUUCAGUCCCGCCUUAGAAAGCUGAAGCACAGCCAUGUUACACAUCAGUGAUGGGCCCUGGCUCCAAACUCAAGAAAGUGAAAAGAACGCCUUUAUGGGGUGCUGCCUUGUGACUUACAAGCCUUUUCACACACCAUUAGCCUUAACCCUAAAACAUAUGGGAAAAAUCUUUGGCCCUAUUUCUUUUGCUCUGGCCCCAGAAUCCCUUCUGAAUUAUCUCACUGGUUCAUGUUUAUGCUUUCCAGAAACCCCUUCACCAGCUUCAACUCAUAGCCUCUCUUAUCGGUAAGUAACUUUGUACUUCCUUUCUGUUUUGUUUUGGAGGCAGAGUCUCCAGAUUUACUAUGUAGGCCAGUCUGCCUUUGAAGGCCUGAUCCUGCUGCCUCUGCCUCUCAAGUGCUGGGAUCACAGGUGAGCACAACCAUGCCUUGUUGUCUUGUUUCCUUUUCUAGAGAUGUGUUUACAAUGUUUCUGCCAGAAUUCCUCGGGUUCCUUGCCCAAAGGCCUAUACUGCUGGCAUUCAUAAUGUGUAGUCUAUAGAGUAGAGGAGUAUUUGUGUACUAUGCAAUCAGAGUCUUUCCCUCUCAGUUAUGGGCAGGAUUCUCUCCACUGCCUAAGGCUUACUUUUACAUGCACUUUACCCUGCUUUCCUUCCCUAUUGAGUUUGAUUACUUUGCUUACUGUUGGUUGGUUGAUUUGUUUUGAGAACUUGAUUCAAUCCUCCUGUCUCUUGGAUCACCACCCCUGGGAUUACAGUUGGGCUCGUACAAUUCUAGCUUUGCUGUUGCUUUUAUUUCUAUUCCUUAGACCUUCAUCUGCCUCCUCUGGACAGGGGGUUUCUUUUAGACCAUUCUUCAGUGGGGAUUCAGGCCACACAAGAGUCCUCACCCCCAACAAUUCUGGUCAGAGGGAAAGCAGAACUACACCAGAGAACCUUCCUGGUUUCCAACUUCCAGUCCUACAGACAUUCUACCAACACAGACAGAUGGGACUAGCCAGGAGAGACGGAUGGAGCGUUUCCAGAUAG